rnacentral:rRNA from 2 species
GCGAGUGAAGCGGCAAAAGCUCAAAUUUGAAAUCUGGUACCUUUGGUGCCCGAGUUGUAAUUUGGAGAGGGCAACUUUGGGGCCGUUCCUUGUCUAUGUUCCUUGGAACAGGACGUCAUAGAGGGUGAGAAUCCCGUGUGGCGAGGAGUGCGGUUCUUUGUAAAGUGCCUUCGAAGAGUCGAGUUGUUUGGGAAUGCAGCUCUAAGUGGGUGGUAAAUUCCAUCUAAAGCUAAAUAUUGGCGAGAGACCGAUAGCGAACAAGUACAGUGAUGGAAAGAUGAAAAGAACUUUGAAAAGAGAGUGAAAAAGUACGUGAAAUUGUUGAAAGGGAAGGGCAUUUGAUCAGACAUGGUGUUUUGUGCCCUCUGCUCCUUGUGGGUAGGGGAAUCUCGCAUUUCACUGGGCCAGCAUCAGUUUUGGUGGCAGGAUAAAUCCAUAGGAAUGUAACUUGCUUCGGUAAGUAUUAUAGCCUGUGGGAAUACUGCCAGCUGGGACUGAGGACUGCGACGUAAGUCAAGGAUGCUGGCAUAAUGGUUAUAUGCCGCCC